UUGCUUGCUUUGGCAGUACAUACACUAAAAUUGGACUGAUGCAGAGAAGAUUAGCAUGCCCCUGUGCAAGGAUGACAUGCACAUUCAUGACGUGUUCCAUAUUUCU
ensembl:snRNA U6 U6 spliceosomal RNA